UGAGGAAUAUUGGUCAAUGGACGCAAGUCUGAACCAGCCAAGUAGCGUGCAGGAUGACGGCCCUAUGGGUUGUAAACUGCUUUUAUAUGGGGAUAAAGUGCGGAACGUGUUCCCUUUUGCAGGUACCAUAUGAAUAAGGACCGGCUAAUUCCGUGCCAGCAGCCGCGGUAAUACGGAAGGUUCGGGCGUUAUCCGGAUUUAUUGGGUUUAAAGGGAGCGUAGGCCGUUUGGUAAGCGUGUUGUGAAAUGUAGGAGCUCAACUUCUAGAUUGCAGCGCGAACUGUCAGACUUGAGUGCGCACAACGUAGGCGGAAUUCAUGGUGUAGCGGUGAAAUGCUUAGAUAUCAUGAAGAACUCCGAUUGCGAAGGCAGCUUACGGGAGCGCAACUGACGCUGAAGCUCGAAGGUGCGGGUAUCGAACAGG
rnacentral:rRNA from 1 species